UCCUUCCACAACAUUUCAAUCAUUUUAAGGUCAUAACUUUUGACUCUGCCUUUCCAAAACAUUCACUUUAUUCUUCUUUAAGAUGUGAUGGAAAACCCAGUUGUGGCACCGUGCUGCCGCAGCCUCGUUGGAUGCCGGGUCUGCGUUGAGCAGUGGGCAACUACCUCGCCGCACUGCCCAAAAUGCAGGGACGAGAUGUUCCAAGAAAAAAAAAAUUUAAAUUACAGGGAUGGGGGAGAUUGUGAAUGUUUUGAAAGACACUAUUAGUUAGGAGAUUGUUUUAGUUAGUUUUUAUUUUAGGUUUAGGUUUUAAGUUAAGUCAAAUGGUUAAGUUUGGUUAUGUUCUUUUAUGCAAUUAAUAAAUUGUUCAAUUUUAUUUUCUAUUACUCUCACUUGCAGAACUCCUUUUGUUGUAUUCAUUUUAUGUUAUUUUAUGCAAAUAAUAAAUUAAUAUAAAUAUUUUAAUAAAAUAAAUUAUGUUCACUUUCA